UGAACGCUGGCGGCGUGCUAACACAUGCAAGUCGAACGGACUUACAUGAAGCCUAGCGAUGUAAGUAGUGGCGGACGGGUGAGUAACGCGUGGGUAACCUGCCGUAUGCUGGGGGACAACAGUUGGAAACGACUGCUAAUACCGCAUAAGCGCACAGAGUCGCAUGACUCAGUGUGAAAAACUCCGGUGGCAUACGAUGGACCCGCGUCUGAUUAGGCAGUUGGCGAGGUAACGGCUCACCAAACCUACGAUCAGUAGCCGGCCUGAGAGGGUGAACGGCCACAUUGGGACUGAGACACGGCCCAAACUCCUACGGGAGGCAGCAGUGGGGAAUAUUGCACAAUGGGGGGAAACCCUGAUGCAAGCGACGCCGCGUGAGUGAAGAAGUAUUUCGGUAUGUAAAGCUCUAUCAGCAGGAAAGAAAAUGACGGUACCUGACUAAGGAGCCCCGGCUAACUACGUGCCAGCCGCUGC
rnacentral:rRNA from 1 species